AAGCGGGAGGAGCCGGCGGCUACCCGGCGCCCGGACGGGCCGGCGGGGAUCAGGGAACCCGGCGGGCGGGGAGCUGGGGAGGGGCGGUGCUGGCGGCCCGGAGGGUGGGGGUUGGGAGCGCUCCGUAUUGGGACCCCGGCGCGGGCUCGGCUGCCGCGCCUCGGCCUUCCUCCGUAGGGCGGAGGCCCUGGGUGGUGACUGUCGCGACUGGUCCCUCCCCGCCGGAGUCACCGCGAGUCCCGGGAGGCGGGCCGCUGCCGUCCACACGCCGGGAGCGGAAACGGAGCUCAGGCGCGCGCCCUGCCCGAGCCGCGAGGCGGAGGCGCGGCUUCCUGGAGCGGGGCCGUGCCGCCGCCUCCCGGAGCUGCCAGGAGCGUCGAAGCGGCUCAGCGGCCCACACGAGUCUCCAGACCGCUCUCUGCUCGGAAAGGACGGGGGCUCAACAAGCUGCGUGAGCUGGAUCCUCGCAUCUGCCUGUCUGUUCAAUAUAUUGCUUUGGUUGAAGUAAGUGAAGACAAGUCCAGCCUCAGACAGGCGGCUCAGCGAGGGCGGACCUGCGUACCCCACUGAGAACAGCGUGGCGCACUGCUGGGCGCCUGGCAGGCCUUGGGAAAAGCAGUGAAAGGGAGCCAGGCGCCUCCCCACGCCGUGCCCCAAAGGACUGGCCCAGGGAAGAGGUUGCUCAGGACCCUCACCAGGGAUGGUUGAGAAAUAGGGGCAGAAACAGCCCACCUCGGAAUUGGCUCAGGAGGUGCAGGGAGCUGCUCCCGGCCCACCCGAUGGAGUUCACCACUUUGGCUCGCAUUGAAUGACUGUGGGGAGAAGCACCCUCACCUGGGUGACCCAGAAGCCGGGAGGUCACACGUGCUGCCAGCGGUGAUCCAGGUACCUCGGAUGGCGGCCACAGGGGAAGCCGCUGCCACACAGCAAGGAAGGGGCACCAGGAAAAUGCAGGCGAAAGAGUGGCAGUGCCGCAGCACAACUGAGGAGCCCAGCCCUGCUGGAGAGCAUCCAGGGCAUCGUCAUCAUCUGUGGCUCAGACAACACAGCAGAGUACAAGCCAUCAAGGAGAAGAGCAAUAAUUUUGUCUAUGUUAAAGUCUCAAGGAAGCCAGAGUAGUCAAAUUCAUAGAAAGGAGAAUGGUGGUACGAGGGGCUGGGGAGAGGAGUAAGAGGAAGUGGAUGUUUAAUGGGGAGAGUUUCAGUUUGGGAAGAUGAAAAGUUCUGGAGAUGGAGGGUGGUGAUGGCUGCAGAACAGUGUGAAUGUACUUUUUAAUGCCACUGAGCUUAAAAAUGGCAGAAAUGAUAACUUUUACGUGUUUUACCACAAAAAGAAAAAAAAAUCUCUGCAAAACAAAAGUCACAAAACUGCAAUGCACACAACAGACAACAAAAACAAGAAAGCAAGUUGGAAACAUCUAAAUUAUCCAUCAAAGGCAUACUAUGCAGCUACUGCAAAGAAUGACCUCCAAGACACAUUGUUAAGUUAAAAAGUAAAUUGUGAGAUACUGCGUACAUCAUGAUACCACUGGUAUAAAACUACCCAAAACACACACACACAAAAUGUGUGUGAUGUUUCUGUGAGCACAGGAAACCUCAGAGGAUACAUGAGAAACUGCAACAGUUACAUACUGGGAGGGAGGAG